rnacentral:misc_RNA from 1 species
GAUGAAGAACGUAGCGAAAUGCGAUAAGUAAUGUGAAUUGCAGAAUUCAGUGAAUCAUCGAAUCUUUGAACGCACAUUGCGCCCGCCAGUAUUCUGGCGGGCAUGCCUGUUCGAGCGUCAUUUCAACCAUCAAGCCCCCGGGCUUGUGUUGGGGACCUGCGGCUGCCGCAGGCCCUGAAAAGCAGUGGCGGGCUCGCUGUCACACCGAGCGUAGUAGCAUACAUCUCGCUCUGGGCGUGCUGCGGGUUCCGGCCGUUAAACCACCUUUUAACCCACGGUUGACCUCGGAUCAGGUAGGAAGACCCGCUGAACUUAAGCAUAUCAAUAAGCGGAGGA